ACUCAACACUAUUUCUUUAUAAAGGAUGAGUCAUAGUUGUGAAAGCAAGCCGCCUUGAGCGGAUCCUUGAGCAAUUAGUUAGUCCUAAUCUUGUUAUAAGGAGUUU
rnacentral:sRNA from 1 species